rnacentral:rRNA from 1 species
UACGUAGGGGGCAAGCGUUGUCCGGAAUCAUUGGGCGUAAAGCGCGUGUAGGCGGCUUCGUAAGUCCGUUGUGAAAGUCCAGGGCUCAACCCUGGGAUGCCGGUCGAUACUGCCGGACUAGAGUUCGGAAGAGGCGAGUGGAAUUCCCGGUGUAGCGGUGAAAUGCGCAGAUAUCAGGAGGAACACCGGUGGCGAAGGCGGGUCUCUGGGCCGAUACUGACGCUGGAGGAGCGAAAGCGUGGGGAGCGAACAGG